rnacentral:pre_miRNA from 1 species
CUUGGCCUCUCUCCGUUGCGCUCAUCAUUUUUGUGAUUGGUGCAAUUGUGCACCAGCAAAUUGCAUAGUCACAAAAGUGAUGGUCGCGGCGGGGCUGCUCU